ACACCUCAACUCUUUAUGGUUUUCCAUGAAGGGCUUGGACUUUGGGGGUCUUGCUGGCCUUUAGUCAGCUCCUCUCAAACGAAUCAGCUUUCCAGUGUUUGGCAGCAUCACAGGUGUGAUAACUAUCUACGCUUGUGGUUUUCUGCCAGGUAAUCCUCAGUGAUGGGGAUUCGCUGGGGCUUAUAAAUGUCUCUCCUCAGCGAAGACAGCUUUGUGAAC
rnacentral:misc_RNA from 1 species